rnacentral:RNase_P_RNA from 1 species
GGGAGAAGGAGCGCGACCGACGGUAGCCCUUGGGAAGGAUCACGGUCCUCACCCCUUGGGCGGCUGAGGAAAGUCCCUCCUCCAUGUCAAGGUGAGUUGCUGUAACCCCCUGGCCACCCGUAGGGGACCAGGAGGUCAAGGCGCCGGGGCGAGAGUCCCGGGCGGAGGAGCAGAAACGACACAGCCCCCGGGUGCGAUGAACCCGGCCUGCGGGAGAGGUCCCCGGGGGAUCUGAUGAAACGGCCCCGCCCACCGGAGCAAGCCCAAAUGUCCGGGAUGACAGGACAGGACCGGAAGGUAGGGUGCUAAGUCGAAUGUCGCAAGCCCGUCGGCCUCGGUCGGCGGGGGAACAGAAGAGGGCUUACUCCCUUCACCC